AUUGUUGAAACCCUAGCCGUUUCUUCUUUUCUUCAUCUCAUUUCUCUCCUCUCCGAACCUCCAUCAACGAAGACAGCCAAGCUAUGUUUCACCGAAACACUUACCACCUCUCAGAACCACGAUCUCGUGGCGUUGAUUUUGAUCCAAGAGUCGCCGGAAACUAACUUUGAUUUGCUCUCGCCGCUCUGAUUCGCUUCUCCACACAUUACCUGAUCCGGUCGCUGUCAAUGCUCUGCUCUGAUGCUCAACGCAGGUUCCGUAAUUCCAUGCUCACUGCUCUCGUCCUGCCGUUCAUCUUCGCCGCUUCGUUCUAUGGUUUUGUACUCAACGUUUUAGAGUAAAUCAAGGAAGAUGAGUCUCUCACGGUGUUUCAGAACAAAGUGUAUAAAAAUUGUGAUUGUUGCAGGUUUUGGAUUCUUGAUUUUAAUUUAGUAAUCCCCAUUUUGAGUUUUUAAAUUGUAUAAAGGUUGUGUUUUUGUAACUUUGCAGUAUGGUAUUGGGAUCACACGCACAUUUCAUGUGAGAAACAGAGGAGGAAGAAGAGUUGAUGACACAAAGAGUAAUAAACAUGUGUAACACAAAGAAUGUAAAAAUCUUAAAACAGAAAAAAAUGACUUCUGUAAAGCUUUUGUAUGGCUAUUUGGAAAUUGAAAUUAAGAAAUUACUUAGUUCUUUA